rnacentral:rRNA from 1 species
UACGGAGGGUGCAAACGUUGCUCGGAAUCAUUGGGCGUAAAGCGCACGUAGGCGGACUGUUAAGUCGGAUGUGAAAUCCCUCAGCUUAACUGAGGAAGUGCACUCGAAACUGGCAGUCUUGAGUAUGGAAGAGGGUCGCGGAAUUCCCGGUGUAGAGGUGAAAUUCGUAGAUAUCGGGAGGAACACCAGUGGCGAAGGCGGCGACCUGGGCCAAUACUGACGCUGAGGUGCGAAAGCGUGGGGAGCAAACAGGG